rnacentral:misc_RNA from 1 species
GACUACUGGCAGGAUCAACCAGGUAGCUUUCACUUUUAGACCACAAUGCAUCCCAAGGACGAGCGCGGAACGGAAGGGCUCCGCGAGCUCCGAGGUAAGCACGGGGGUCGCCCGAGCGGAAGCAGAGCGCUUCGUUCGACACGUAGGGAUCGCACGGCCAACAAAGGACCGCCCGAUUACAAGAGUUAUCACCGCACCCGAGAGCAUGCAGACGGCAUCGACGCACCGACGCGGACGGUAACGCCCAGGAGAUGGACGGCCGACCGGUAGGAGAGCGCCGACGCCCGCACGAUGCCUCCCAACGCACAGGAUGCGGAGGAGAGGCGAGGGAACCGAGACAGGGACGACUACAGGCCCGUGUACCGCAAUCGGGUAACUAACGCAGGAACCCACCCAUCGCCCGCGACCGAAACUCGGGGCGGGCGAUCAAAUGAAACGGAUGUGGCCACAGCAGUUCGGUGCCCGAAGCACGGAGCCUGCCGCGGGUACAUAUCCCGUUUGCCACUCAUGCGUCGUCCCAACGCUGCCCGGGGAACGCCCGACGACCCAACGCCGCCACCCGGAGGGGAGGAGGCACGGGACGGACGCGACGCAACACGAGCAAGCCCUGCUAGA